rnacentral:rRNA from 1 species
GCGCGAAACCUCUGCAAUGCGGGAAACCGUGACAGGGGGAUCCCAAGUGCUCAUGCAUUGCAUGGGCUGUUCUUUGGUCUAAGUAACCAGAGGAGUAAGGGCUGGGCAAGACCGGUGCCAGCCGCCGCGGUAAUACCGGCAGCUCAAGUGGUAGCCGCGCUUAUUGGGCCUAAAGCGUUCGUAGCCGGAUAAGUAAGUCUUUGGUUAAAUCCUGCGACUUAACCGUGGGAAAUCUAGAGUGACUGCUUGUCUUGAGACCGGGAGAGGUUGGAGGUACUCCCAGGGUAGGGGUGAAAUCCGGUAAUCCUGGGGGGACCACCUGUGGCGAAGGCGUCCAACUGGAACGGGUCUGACGGUGAGGGACGAAACCUAGGGGAGCGAGCC